AAAUGAUCCCCCUGCCGCACGCCAACACACACACAACACCUUUUGGCGUAUCUGCACCCGCACCCCGUAGGGCGUAGGCACCCCUUUAGAGAGAGGGAUCAUGGAUGGGAGAGGCUGCGCCCAUGCCGCCACCAUUCCUGAGAACCACUCUUCUCCCAAGAAAGACACCCGGCUGGAGUCAGCAGGUGUCCGGGCGCCUGCAGCUUCUGUGACCGUCUCCUGGUGCCUUGCGGGACUCCAGCUUCCGCUCUCUGACUCUGCUUGCUGCCUGCGGCCCACGUGGGAGAACUGGUUACUUGCUCUUUUGUAUGCUUCCGGCUUCUUUUUCCUCCAAACUUAGGCCUUCUCACUGCUGAAGUUUUCCCCAGCAGCGUAAUACUAUUGGAAUAAUUGGUGGAACAGGCCUGGAUGAUCCAGAAAUUUUAGAAGGAAGAACUGAAAAAUAUGUGGAUACUCCAUUUGGCAAGCCAUCUGAUGCCUUAAUUUUGGGGAAGAUAAAAAAUGUUGAUUGCGUCCUUCUUGCAAGGCAUGGAAGGC
rnacentral:sRNA from 1 species